AUUGAACGCUGGCGGCAGGCCUAACACAUGCAAGUCGAGCGGGGUUUUCGGACCUAGCGGCGGACGGGUGAGUAAUGCGUAGGAAGCUACCCGAUAGAGGGGGAUACCAGUUGGAAACGACUGUUAAUACCGCAUAAUGUCUACGGACCAAAGUGUGGGACCUUCGGGCCACAUGCUAUCGGAUGCGCCUACGUGGGAUUAGCUAGUUGGUGGGGUAAUGGCUCACCAAGGCGACGAUCCCUAGCUGGUUUGAGAGGAUGAUCAGCCACACUGGAACUGAGACACGGUCCAGACUCCUACGGGAGGCAGCAGUGGGGGAUAUUGGACAAUGGGCGCAAGCCUGAGCCAGCCAUGCCGCGUGUGUGAAGAAGGCCUUCGGGUUGUAAAGCACUUUCAGUAGGGAGGAAGGGUUAAGUGUUAAUAGUACUUAUCUUUGACGUUACCUACAGAAGAAGCACCGGCUAACUCUGUGCCAGCCGCCGCCGUAAGAC
rnacentral:rRNA from 1 species